UGUCCCAACAAUGGGCUAAGAUACACCUUGUGGAUGGUGGUGUUCUUAUAUUGGUCAGGGUCAGAGCAAAUAGCCAUCUUUUGUUCAUCCUAGCUUGAUGCCUAGCUUGACAUCCAAAGCUAUCUUAUGCCUAGGACUCAUAA
ensembl:snoRNA Gm22315 small nucleolar RNA SNORA48